rnacentral:misc_RNA from 1 species
GGCAGAUCUGUAAUAGAACUGCC